CCUACGGGUGACAGCAGUGAGGAAUAUUGCUCAAUGGGCGCAAGCCUGACGCAGCGACGCCGCGUGAGGGAUGACGGUCUUCGGAGCGUAAACCUCUGUCAGCACGGGAGAACGGGCACUUUGCUAAUCCGCACUGAAUUGAUGGUACCUGCAAAGGUAGCACCGGCUAAAUCCGUGCGCGCCGCCGCGGUAAUCCGGAGGAGGCGAGCGUUAAUCUGAAUUAAUGGGCGGAAAGCGCUCGUAGGCGGUAGGUCAAGUGAAGGGUGAAAUCCCCGAGCUCAACGUGGGAACUGCCUUUGAAACUGGCAAACUGGAGAGUGGGAGAGGAUAGUGGAAUUCAAGGUGUAGGGGUGAAAUGCGUAGAUAUCUGGCGGAACAUCAGUGGCGAAGGCGACUAUCUGGCACAUAACUGACGCUGAGGAGCGAAAGCGUGGGGAGCAAACAGGAUUAGAUACCCGUGUAGUC
rnacentral:rRNA from 1 species